CGCCUCUGGGCGUGUACUAUCGUUGGAUUGACACGAAAAUACUGGACUGGACGGUGACUGAAAUUCGUGAAAGAGGUUAUCGUGCAUGGGAAAGUUUGUAUGCUGAAGAGCGCCGCUAGAAGGCGGCAACAGAGGAGAAAGCAGAGCAAGAGAGAGAGUGGAAGAGUACUGUGCGAAGCAGACAUGUUUUAUUGAUGAGAUGCGGAAGAAAAACCAGGAAGAGGUACUUCGACUAGUGGAGGUGCAACGACAGCGACAAGAGGCCCAUGAGGCUGAGAGACAGAGAAAGAAAGAAAGGGUUCAUGCGGCCAAGGCAGCAGAAGAAGCUAGUGAUUGAAAAGGAAAAUAUCCACGUUGGACUCAGUAGAUUUAUGUUAUUGUAAAAUACGCAUCGCAACAAGUUGUAUCUUAAAAUUUGCAGCAAGUUGUAUCUUAAUUUUAGCAAGUUGUAUCUUAAUUUGAACUUGUUAAUUUUUCC
rnacentral:lncRNA from 1 species